CUUGGCUCGGCACUUCUCCUUCCUGCUACCUCGUGAAGAAGGUGCUUUGCUUCCCCUUCAGCUUCCACCACGAUUGCAAGUUUCCUGAGGCCUCCCUGGCAAUGCUGAACUGUGGUCUCUGGACCAGCAACAGCAGCAGCAGCAGCAGCAGCUACUAGGGAUUUAUUAGAAAUGCAAGUUUUGGAGUUUUAUCCCAGACCUACUUAAUCGGAAACUUUGGAGUGGGGCCCAGCAUGCUGGGUUGUAUCAAUGUUCUGAUGCAUGCCAAAGCCCUGGGGCUCAUAAUUAUCUGGAACAGCUGUAACAGAUCUGCUCUCACUGGUCCUUAAAUUGUAUUGUAAGCUGCGGAUCCCUUCUUUCUGAACACCAAAGUGCGUGAGUUCUUGGAAGAUCUGAUGAUUUUAUAAGGGGCUUUUUGCCUUUUGCUCUGCACUUCUUCUGCUGCCAUAUGAGGAAGGAUGUGUUUGCUUCCCCUUCUGCCAUGAUUGUAAGUUUCCUGAGGCCUCCCCAGCCAUGCGGAACUGUGAGUCAAUUAAAUCUCUUUCCUUUGUAAAUUAUCUAGUCUCUGGCAGUUCUUUUUUUUUUUUUUUCUCAUUCAAAAUACUCUGCUAAUUUAACGUAUAUUUUAGAAAGAGGAGUUCUUUACAAGGCAGUAGGACAGUGGUUUCUGGGCUGGUGUCCAAGAUACCAAGGAGGAAAUUGUUGUAUUCUGUCCCUUGAAAAGAUUAUGAUAGUUAACAAAUGCACAUGGUCACUUUACUUAUUAUUAAUGUGA